ACAUAAUCCAAAAUAAUUAAUUAGAUAAAUUAAUAAGAUGCAUAAGAAAUCGAGUUUGAGAACAAUUAACAUCAACCUACCCUGUGCAUUAAGGCAAUCAAAGCACAUGAAAAUACAUACAAAUGAAAGUGAGAAGAUCAUUAAGACAGUAAUUUUGCAAUGAUGCCACUAUCACUCCAAGGACGGUUGGGUGCGGGCACAGCAUACAUUACUCCAUAAUUUGCCCUAUAAACAAAUUGCCUAUCAAUGCUCGUCUCGAGCAGAGCUUCAAAGCUGAGCCCGAGGCCAUUGUUUUAGAAGGGAGAUCCAAAUGGUGCAGUUCAUAACAAAUGAAAAGAAAAUGGGAAAUUAGUGAGAAGAUUGAAAACAAGGCCAAAGCAAAGGAAGUUUUCCUAAAUCUUGUCAUGCAGCGUGACAACCAAGUCAUGUGCAUCGUCAAGAAGCUUCCAUACAUCCAAUUGUCCAGCCAUAUUGUUGCAGUCUUUCAUGAUAUCAUCAACACUGCUAUACUUCUCGAUGAUCAGUUUCCUCCUCUGCAAUACACAGGCCGCUAUUGCAUAAAGCAGCAGAUCAUCAGUAGGAGGGGCUCUCAACCUCAUCCUUCCCCAGGCAGACUUGGCAAUCCCUGCACAUAUUGCUGCUUGGUCAGCCCACAUCACCUCCCAUAGGCACAGUGUCUGCUCAAGGUUUAACUCCCUCCUGAAAAGAACCACCACCAUUCUGUACACAAAAAAGCAGUCCUCUGCUUGGAGAUUCUCUAGGUGCUUGUAAAGAUGGAUAUCCUUGCACUUAAUUAUCUUGGCAACAAUACCAAGUUGCCUCCGGAUUCCCACUUCAUCAAGCCGGAAAUUAUGCCUGGCCUUCUUCAUGAAGCCCACAAAGCACCAAAAGGCUUCAAAAUCCUCCUCCAUCACUGCAAUAAUUGGAGAAAGCAAAUCACUCAUUCCCUGACAGUAACCAAUCUCAGGAUCAUAUAGUGCAUAGGCCUCAAGGAUAGCCACCAGGCGAGUAGCAUGAAAGAUCCUGCAAGGCUCCAAGUGAUCAUAAUCCUUCAGACCAACAUUCUCAGCCAAUCGCCGUGCCUUCAGCUCUGAUAUUGCAGCCUGAGUUGGAGAGUACAUGAUCCAUUCAGCAUUUGCCCGCACGGCAUCAACCCGAAUGAUUCUCUGCCAUGUGGCAAAAUUUUCGUCUUUUUGGAAAUCACUUUCUGCAUCAGGAUGGGAAUUCUCCAGUGCAGGCACGCUAAGAUCCUUUUCUUUGAUAGUUUCAGUUGCAAUGAAAAGUUCCAUGUUUUCAGGUUCUUCAGAUGAGUCAGAGUCGGUAGAAUCAGUGUUACCAGCAAAGACUUCUUCACAGGUGAGCACACUCCUGUCACAAUCUUCCAAUAUCAAGUCAGAUCUCUGAAGAGUUUGAUCACAGUUAUCUGAACCCUCAGCAGCUAAGCUGCAUCCCUCAGUGAAAGAUGACUUUAUAGCACUAACAUCAUCUUCAAAUUCAGGAGAAUCAAUAACUUGAUUAAACUCUCCGCUGUUCUCAUUGUUGCUGGUUACAGUAGUUUCCUUCAACUUCAAGCUCUUCUCUCUUUGUUUAAGAUUUUGCUGGCACCGUUUCUGCAGAUUCUCAUAUUCUUUCCUCUUCUGAGCUCGAGUAUGAUCUCUUUCUUCCUUGGAACUAUUCACAUCAUAGCUGUUGAACAAAAAAGGAAAAAAGAGUCAAUACACAUGGAGAAAUGCUAAUGGAUAUGUGCUAUCAAUCGAAAAUCCAGAAGAACAAACUAAAGAAAAUCAUAAAUUACAAUUGCAUUUGGCAAAGGGCAGAAUGAUAAAUUUCAAGGAAUUUUCUAUAAGAACAGCAACAUUUAGUAGACAUAAAGGUAGCAACUGCAUUAUUCUUGUCCAGACAACAACUCUGCUGAGUUGCUCAACCAUUGAGAUUUCAUUAAUGAUUGAGGUCUCCCACUAAACUUAUACCUCCAUUCCAUCCUUAUCCCGUGACACAUCAAAUGACGUGAAUAAAAACGGGAGCUAUCAUACAAACCCAUUGUUGUUCUAUAGCUCAAGUUGACGUUGACAGCUCACUGAACAACUGCAGUUUACUUGAUCUUGAGUCCAUCAAAGAAUGAUAGAAACACGAAUUUGUCAAGACCUAUGCACUUGCAAAGAUCCAUAAGACCAACAACAGUUCUGGGCAAAGGUAAGCUAGAAAAGACUAUAAAGUUGAGGAAAAUAAUAAUAAGCUGGAAACAGGGAGGAUAAGGACAUCAUAAACCAGGUAGGAUUUCAUAGCAUUAUUAAAGACCAGGAUUGCCACUGAGAACCGAACUAGAAGUUCAGUAAAAUGACAGAAAACGUCUCCACUAAAUAAAACAUAUAAUACUUUCUUUGUAAUGGAAAACAUCUCUUCAUCAUACAAACAUAUGCUGCUUCAAUGUUAUGAAAACAAUACUGAACUAUUGCAUGAAUAAACAAUUCUUACACUCCAAGGAGAAACGGCCAAACUUCUGCUCUAAUACUUGGAUCAACACCUCCACUGCGGGCUUUCUUUAAAAACUUAACACCACCAUCAUAGAGUUUUCCAUCAGCUGUAAAUAAACUCUUCCAUUGCUUUGGGAGAAGUGCGAGUUUUCUUCUUCUAAAUGACCAAGGUGAUUUAUGACCACCCCGAUCAAUGGAAACUGGUGAGGAAGAUGAUGAUGGGGACGACGACGAAGAUAAGAAAGCAACUACUAGUAAGACUGAUCGCAAAUGAAUCCACGACGACGACGACGAAGACGACGGUGACGAGGAAUUUGACGGCGAAGAAGAUGAAGUGUGGCUUCGCCUUAGGGCUCUCAUUAAUGGUUUCCGUUCCGUUAACAUCUAUCUAUCUUAUCUAUAAAUUCUUUGGUGGUGAAAAUGAAGAAGAGACCAAUUUUGAAUUUUGGAGCUUUGGAUUUGAAAUCUUAUAGGAUUUUAAGAACUUUUUUGUCUUGAAUUUUUUUUUUCUUCUUUACCUACGAGAAUAGACGACGGUGGCGGCCAAGGCGAGACCAGCCAUGGCCGUCACGGCGAUAGCUAUACCAACAUUAGAAGAAGUCACCGAAACACCCCAGAACCAGCCGCCGGCUCCACCUCCGACGAACGACGCACUCCUCCCGCUCCCACCAAUUCCAGUGCUAGCUUCAGCGAACACGAUCCAUUUCCCAGCGCCACCAACGCUCCUGCUGCUGCCACUGCCCGAGGCAGAGAAGAGCAUCAAUGAGAUGAGCAACAGCGAAAUUACAGUAAAGCCCCUUGGUUGUUCUUGCUUCUGCUUCACCACCAUCACCAAAGUGAGAACCCUUGAGGCCUUGGGGCCAGGACUUUCCCCUCUCUCUCUCUCUCACUUGGUGGAGCUUUAUUUUACUUUCUUUCCAAAGUAAUUAUAGCAACUAAGAAGAAACUAAAAUAUUAAUUUCCAUUACCAUAUCUGUAUGGAUCUCCCCCAGAGAUGGAUAUGUUCGUAGACUAGAGGACGGUGGCACGGCCCAACUUGCUCUCCAUGGAAAUUGUUUAAUUGGGCAAGUAGACUUAAAAAGGUAAAAUUUCUGUAAAAAUAAUCUUGUUGGGUUACGUAUUAUUAAAUUAGUUUUGUUCAAGAGGAAUAAUUU
rnacentral:misc_RNA from 1 species